ensembl:lncRNA novel transcript, antisense to ZFPM2
ACAUUCUCCUAAGAUGGGAGCAAGAAUUGUAGACCACCCUCAGAAGACUUGCUCCAAGAUGCCUCGGAUGACCCAGAUGCUGCUGUCACAGUCCGUCUGCUUUUGGUUGGUUAUCUGGGAAACUCCCAACACAGCAAAUUGAGGACAAAUACAAAAUUCUUUCAGAAAGUUGUCUGGAAGGCAAGAGGACUGUCCCACCCCAUGGGGUUGGCACUGUAAUUUGGCAUCUGCACUUCAAGCUUAGCUAAGUCACGGUGCCUUUGAAAGGUGCCUAAUGAAGUGGCCAGAAGUGGAACAAAAAGAGUUCAGCACUCCUGUGCCUUGGAUGUAGUUGUGAAUACUGCUCUACAGGAGAACUGUUAAAAAUAUUUUCAAAGUGAUAGUAACUCCUUACUUCUAAGCACAUACCCGCAGCCUACAAUAAAUAAACUGUGUGACUGUAAUAACUCUGGUACUGCUGUUUAUGGCAUACAAAAUACAUUCACAUAUAUUACCUGAUCUGAUCCUCAUAAUGAAUAUGUGAGGAGCAGAUGUUUGACCCCUAUUUUACAAAGAGG